UCUACGGUGGGCAGCAGUGAGGAAUAUUGGUCAAUGGGCGGAAGCCUGAACCAGCCAAGUAGCGUGCAGGAUGACGGCCCUACGGGUUGUAAACUGCUUUUAUACGGGAAUAACGCGCCUUACGUGUAGGGCUUUGCAUGUACCGUAUGAAUAGGGACCGGCUAAUUCCGUGCCAGCAGCCGCGGUAAUACGGAAGGUCCGGGCGUUAUCCGGAUUUCUUGGGUUGAAAGGGAGCGUAGGCCGACGGUCAAGCGUGCUGUGAAAUGUCCGGGUCCAACCCGGGCCUUGCAGCGAGAACUGGCGUGCUUGAGUCCGCGGAAAGCAGGCGGAAUUCGUCGUGUAGCGGUGAAAUGCUUAGAUAUGACGAAGAACCCCGAGUGCGAAGGCAGCUUGCUGCAGCGGAACUGACGCUGAUGCUCGAAAGCGCGGGUAUCGAACAGGAUUAGAUACCCCUGUAGUC
rnacentral:rRNA from 1 species